ensembl:lncRNA
AUGCUAAGUGUUUUCUAUUUGUUAUUUUCUUUAGCACACUCAACAGCAUUGUGUGCAUGGUCUUAUUACACAUUUUACAUUUGCGGAAACCAGCCUGCAUCAAGCCACUCCAUAAAAUUAGAUACCAGGUUUUUGUCCUCUGAUUGUGCUCUUCUGAGCUGCUCAGCUCCUCUGUCUCCAUCUCAGUAUCCACUUGGGGUGGUGGGUAGGGGGUGGCAGAGGAAACCUGAUACUGUGUUUAUUCCCUUUAUGCUCCUGGCCAGUCGGGAUUCCUUCCCAACCUGCAGUCUUAAUCACGCAGAGCAAUUACACGAAAACAGAACAACAAAUCGGGAUCGAUACGGACUUGACUGUCGACUGGAAGAAACAAAAUUUAUGACUUGGCUGGAUUAUGCUUACCAGCCAAGAAUAGCGGUAAUUCCAAGCAACCCCACUGACCAGGAUCAAUCAUGGCAUUUUAUUACUUUGCUAAACCCUGCUAGCUCCCCACCCUGCAACCCCCAUCUAGUUAGAACCCAAUCUCCAAGGAAAAUAUUGCACUUGUUAUCAAAUUUUAGAAAGAGAAUUUAUGGCAGACAGAUUGAUUUAAAGCUGUCUUCUAAAGGGGAGCAGAGGGAGGUGGAAAGGUAAAUUUUGCUUCGUCUUUUAGAUUGGUUCUUUUGCUUAUCUCUCCAUUUUAUGACAUAAUCUGUUGUAGCAUUACCCAGGGUCCUCUGGGCUGAAGCUUCUUGCCUGGCAUUAGAUAAGGGGGAGAUAUUGUCUGGGUGUAAAGUUUAAAGCCCGUGGCAAGGGCUCAUUUUUCUCAUUUCAGGCAAGGGAGAAAGGAUAUAAAAUGAAAAGCAAGCAAUCAAUAAAGAAGAAAGAUAGAGAUCUUCCCCCAAAAAGGAAAAAAAGAAAUCCUAACCUCACUGAUGACUCCUCUAACUAAGACUUUAACAGGCAGAUAAUGAACUCACAGAUCCUCCGGUCAGGUCAGGGAUGGAGAACAGACCCCCAAUGCCAUCAUAAUCCAUGCCCCUCCUCUUCUUGCACCUUGCAAUAAUGGGAUGCAACUCCCAUUGUGAGCUUUUGGAUGUUUUUGUAGACAAACUCAGCCUUCCUUAUUCCUGUCAGUCAACCUUUAAAGUAAUAGCCAGAAUGGUUAAUUACUUAUCUGGCAACCAAGAUAGGGAAUUGUGGUAGUUUGUUGAAAUCAAGUAAUAAAUGCUGCAAUCCUACCUGCUUAAGUGGAGGUAUCUACCCCCCAUGGCUCAUGAGAGAAUGAAAGAAAAGGUAAAAGUAUUCUUUGGUUAAUCCUGGAGUUUAUGAUAGACUAGUCUGAUUUAAUGGCUCUAUAGUCAUUCCGUUGUUAGAAAAUCAAUAUUUUCCUAAGAAAGUGUAUGGACUGCCAUAAAUACACUCCCAGUUAUAUGAACCUUGGCUACAGAACUUGCAUACUGCAGAGACUGUAAUGAGUGGUGAGAAAGCAGCCUCCCAAAGCAGCAGGAAAACAGAGCACCCCAUAAAGAAGCCCAAGGGCCUGUCUAUGGGCUCAGCACCUUGGAGACCCAGAGAAUCUCUCCUGUGAUGACUGGGGAGAGAUGGGUACUCUGUGGUUGAUUUUCACUGAGGAGUUCCUCUGGGUCACUCAUUUCAGAAAUAUCGGGAGCAUAGUAGAUAGGGAACAUAACCUCAGGGCCAGACACAAUGCUUUCAAGAGGGAUAGAGGGGAAAUAACCCCAAGAGAAAGGUAAAGGAUGCCAUGGGAUGAACACAGGAGUAGCAAUUGGAACACAGAGUUUGCAUCUUUCUCUACCACUUUCCUGGGUGACUGCAAGCCAGUCAUACACCCCAGCUUUACAGAGGAGGAAACUGAGGCUGAUAAGGGUUUAUCACAGCAAACACAUGGAGCUGCUUUGAGUUUAAAAGAAGGCAUAUGUUGGACAUUACUGUUUAUUUUGGCUGUCUAUGUUCCUGCAUUCUAUGUUCAGGAAUUUUACAUCUUAUUGAGUCUUGGUGGGAGUUGGAGCCCUCUUUCUGCUACAGAAUCUGAAAAUGCAUUUCUUUCCCAGCCUCCUUCAUGGAAAGGGCAUUUUGGCAUUUUCCAGCCUCUUUCACAGAUAGGUCACCGUACCCAAUGCGGCUGUGGUCAGACAUACCUGCCCCAGAUUGGAAUCAGCUGCUAGUGAGGUAAAGCAGCAACGAUGGUGGGGAGUCCUCUGACAGUGAUAAUGGUUGUGGAGACCUCUGGAUUCUGGGUACAGCUGUGGCUGACCACCGUCCAAUGGCCGUAGCAUGGGCAAUGUUAGCUGUGGAGUCUGGGGUUCAGCCUGGGAGCAUGUUACCUUAUCAGACUAUGUGUAGAUAGAUUCUAAAUGUGGUAUCUCCCUGUGCAGGCAUAGGGAUUUUGUGCACAUUGUCAUACCUAAUUUUAUCACAAAGUGGACCCCUUCAUCAGAGGGGAUGUUUAGAGGUUAUGAAACAUGAGAUGCUCUGCAAAGCCUCCCAUGGUGGAGCUGACAAAUGCACUGUGCGCAGGGAAGGCAAGGAAACACUCCAAAUACAUCUGAAAUACAUUCUUCGGGAAUCACUGUCUCCUCCAGGAUAGAGGGAUCCAGUGUGAACAUUUUACCACUAAGGGACCAUGUGGUCCGUUAGAGAGAUGGCACUGUGUCGAGGGCACAGUAUCAAUAAUCCCUAUUGCUGACAGGUCAGACGUUCAGAAGAGCGGUAACUAUCAGGCUUGGUGACAUGGAACCCAUGCUGCUCAGCCCAUGCAUGCAUUGCCUCUGCUUCUGCUCUGUGACUACUCCAUGCACAGGUCCAUAGUGCAAGAAAUGGCUG